rnacentral:misc_RNA from 1 species
GAUGAAGAACGUAGCGAAAUGCGAUAAGUAAUGUGAAUUGCAGAAUUCAGUGAAUCAUCGAAUCUUUGAACGCACCUUGCGCCCUUUGGCCAUUCCGAAGGGCAUGCCUGUUUGAGUAUCAUGAACACCUCAACUCUCAUGGCUCGCCAUGAUGAGCUUGGACUUUGGGGGUCUUGCUGGCCCGUGGUCGGCUCCUCUCAAAUGGAUCAGCUUGCCAGUGUUUGGUGGCAUCACAGGUGUGAUAACUAUCUGCGCUUGUGGUUUUCCAUCAGAUAACCUUCAGUGAUGGAGGUUCGCUGGAGCUCAUAAACGUCUCCCCUAAGCGGGGACAGCCCUUUGAAUGUUUGAUCUCAAAUCAGGUAGGACUACCCGCUGAACUUAAGCAUAUCAAUAAGCGGAGGA